UACCAGUUUAUGCUGGUUUGAGAAGAUUUGCUGGCCAGACACCAAGAUUUUUCCCGGUAGGAUCAGCCAGCUCGUAGGACGAAGACCCCUUUUUGGCGAGAACUUUCGCCGAUCACCCUCCCCGGAAAUCCUGGAGUAGUCAUCCCCUGAUGCCAUUUCGCAACCAUGGACGACGAAAUGAGGACUAAACCCGGUAGAAGAAUGAACCGUGGUAUUUAGGAUGCGUUCCACAUCAGAAAUGCGGGCAUCCCAGUUGCGCUGGUCCGUGCGGGCGUACGCGCGUAUUGCCGUAUUUAUAGAACGAUUCGUUCGUUCUACCGGGAACCGGCUGAAUUCUUUGGAGAUGAACGUCGAACCAUUAUCGCUCAACAGGAUUUCCGGACUUCCAUGGCGGUUGAACCAUUGUUCGCGAAGGGUCGCACAAAGUGAGGCGCUGCAAAUUUUGCGAACGGGGGUCAACAUUACGUGCUUGCUGAAGACGUCGAGGACGACUAGCAAGUGUUGAUUGCCCCGUUUGCUUCGAGGAAGUGGGCCUGUGUAGUCCACCGA